rnacentral:rRNA from 1 species
GAUGAACGCUGGCGGCGUGCCUAAUACAUGCAAGUCGAGCGAACAGACGAGGAGCUUGCUCCUCUGACGUUAGCGGCGGACGGGUGAGUAACACGUGGAUAACCUACCUAUAAGACUGGGAUAACUUCGGGAAACCGGAGCUAAUACCGGAUAAUAUAUUGAACCGCAUGGUUCAAUAGUGAAAGACGGUUUUGCUGUCACUUAUAGAUGGAUCCGCGCCGCAUUAGCUAGUUGGUAAGGUAACGGCUUACCAAGGCAACGAUGCGUAGCCGACCUGAGAGGGUGAUCGGCCACCCUGGAACUGAGACACGGUCCCGACUCCUACGGGAGGCAGCAGUAGGGACUCUUCCGCAAUGGGCGAAAGCUUGACGGAGCAACGCCGCGUGAGUGAUGAAGGUCUUCGGAUCGUAAAACUCUGUUAUUAGGGAAGAACAAAUGUGUAAGUAACUAUGCACGUCUUGACGGUACCUAAUCAGAAAGCCACGGCUAACUACGUG